rnacentral:ncRNA from 4 species
CUGGGAAGUCCUCGUGUUGCACCCCU